CCGGGAUGUUCAUAACCCUUUGUUGUCCGACUCUGUUGCCUCCGGGGCGACCCUGCCUUCGGGCGGGGGCUCCGGGUGGACACUUCAAACUCUUGCGUAACUUUGCAGUCUGAGUAAACUUAAUUAAUAAAUUAAAACUUUUAACAACGGAUCUCUUGGUUCUGGCAUCGAUGAAGAACGCAGCGAAAUGCGAUAAGUAAUGUGAAUUGCAGAAUUCAGUGAAUCAUCGAAUCUUUGAACGCACAUUGCGCCCCCUGGUAUUCCGGGGGGCAUGCCUGUUCGAGCGUCAUUUCACCACUCAAGCCUCGCUUGGUAUUGGGCAUCGCGGUCCGCCGCGUGCCUCAAAUCGACCGGCUGGGUCUUCUGUCCCCUAAGCGUUGUGGAAACUAUUCGCUAAAGGGUGUUCGGGAGGCUACGCCGUAAAACAACCCCAUUUCUAAGGUUGACCUCGGAUCAGGUAGGGAUACCCGCUGAACUUAAGCAUAUCAAUAAGACGGAGGAA
rnacentral:rRNA from 1 species